CGGACAAAACAACAUGUAAACAUCAGCUGAACUCAAGGUUGUGAUUUCCACUUUUCAAAAUCAUAUUUUUGUCCCUGUCACUUGUACAGUUUCAGUUUGAUUAAUUGGCUAAUUUUGCCUCUCAUGCAACCUACAAGCUGCUCGACCUGGGACUGCUUGGUUCACUUUCUGUCUCCAGGGCUGCAGACCCAUUAGGAGAUUGAUCAGCGGCAUGGGACACACCUGGGCCUGGUGUGCCCCAUGCAUAUAAGCCAGAGCAGCAGCCAGUCUUUGGGCAGAUCUUCUCACAGCAUGUCUUCUGUGUGGUGGCUUUUGAACACCAAGCAAAGUAUUAUAUUGCAGUAAAAGACAGCAGUCUUUAAAGAACAGCUGCAAGGAUGUGGGAAAUGUGGGAGAGAGAGGGGAUGACAUGCAGCAAAGAGCCACGGGCCGGACCCGGACCCGGGCCGCUGCAGCAAGGACUCAGCCUUGUACAUGGGGCACGUGCUCUACCAGGUGAGCUACUGAGGCGCCCCAAGGCUCAUUGUUGACAUUAGAAAAGGUACUUUCAGACUGGCCAAUACAGGGAGUGUAGCCACUCAUUCAUCUCAACUUUUUUUCUUCUCAACUGUAAUUUUUAAAAACCUAACCAGGGACGGGGGGCUUGAAAUUGGCUUGAG